rnacentral:rRNA from 1 species
UACAGGGGGGGCAAGCGUUGUUCGGAAUUACUGGGCGUAAAGGGUCUGUAGGUGGCCAACUAAGUCAGACGUGAAAUCCCUCAGCUUAACUGGGGAACUGCGUCUGAUACUGGAUGGCUCGAGUGUGGGAGAGGAAUGCGGAAUUCCAGGUGUAGCGGUGAAAUGCGUAGAUAUCGAGAGGAACACCUGCGGCGAAGGCGGGUUGCUGGGCUGACACUGACGCUGAAGCGCGAAAGCUAGGGGAGCGAACGGG